GAGUUCUUGUGGACAAAAAAAAAAUGUGUGGUGCUUCUUAUNNNNNNNNNNNNNNNNNNNNNNNNNGGUAAAAACCUCUAUAUCUGACUGGGUUAAUAACUCCUCAUAUCUGACUGGGUGAAUAACUCUCUAUAUCUGUGGGGUUACAAUAAACUCCUCUAUAUCUGACUGGGUUAAUAACUCCUCUAUAUCUGACUGGGUAAAUAACUCCUCUAUAUCUGACUGGGUGAUAACUCCUCUAUAUCUGACUGGGUAAAUAACUCCUCUAUAUUGACUGGGUUAAAAACUCCUCUAUAUCUGACUGGGUGAAUAAAACUCUUAUAUUCUGACUGGUGUAAUAACUCCUCUAUUCUGACUGGGUUAAUAACUCCUCUAUAUCUGACUGGGUGAUAACUCCUCUAUAUCUGACUGGGUAAUAACUCCUCUAUAUUGACGGGUGAUAUACUCCUCUAUAUCUGACUGGGGAUAAAUCCUCUGACUGGGUAAAUAACUCCUCUAAUCUGACUGGGUUAAUCAUCCUCUAUAUCUGACUGGGUUAAUAACUCCUCUAUAUCUGACUGGGUUAAUAACUCCUCUAUAUCUGACUGGGUUAAUAACUCCUCUGACUGGGUUAAUAACUCCUCUGACUGGGUAUCAAUCAACUAACUCUAUAUCUGACUGGGUUAAUAUAAUCUCUGACUGGGUUAAACUCUCUAUAUCUGACUGGGUGAAUAACUCAUCUGACUGGGUUAAUAACUCCUCUAUAUCUGACUGGGUAAAUAACUCCUCUAUAUCUGACUGGUGAUAACUCCUCUAUAUCUGACUGGUAAAUAACUCCUCUAUAUCUGACUGGGUUAAUAACCCUCAUAUCUGACUGGGUUAAUAACUCCUCUAUCUGACUGGGUUAUAACUCCUCUAUAUCUGACCGGGUUAAUAACUCCUAUAUCUGACUGGGUAAACUCCCUUCUAUAUUCUGACUGGGUAAAUAACUCCUCUAUAUCUGACUGGGUGUAACUCCUUAUAUCUGACUGGGUAAUAACUCCUCUAUACUGACUGGGUUAUAACUCCUCU
rnacentral:lncRNA from 1 species